AGCGAACGUUAGCGGCACGCCUAACACAUGCAAGUCGCACGAGAACAGGGGCAACCCUUAGUAAAGUGGCGCACGGGUGCGUAACACGUAGAUAACCUGCCCUUUGGAGGGGGAUAACGUUCCGAAAGGAGCGCUAAUACCGCAUACAGCAAGAGCCGGUUCGCCGGUUUUUGGCAAAGGUAGGGAUCCGCAAGGACCUACCGCCAGAGGAGGGGUCUGCGGCCCAUCAGCUAGUUGGUGAGGUAAGGCUCACCAAGGCAGAGACGGGUAGCUGGUCUGAGAGGAUGAUCAGCCACACUGGUACUGGAACACGGACCAGACUCCUACGGGAGGCAGCAGUGGGGAAUCUUGCGCAAUGGGCGAAAGCCUGACGCAGCCAUGCCGCGUGGAUGAUGAAGGUCUUAGGAUU
rnacentral:rRNA from 1 species